rnacentral:rRNA from 1 species
GACGAACGCUGGCGGCGUGCUUAACACAUGCAAGUCGAACGGAAGGGCCCUGCUUUUGUGGGGUGCUCGUGUGGCGAACGGGUGAGUAACACGUGAGUAACCUGCCCUUGACUUUGGGAUAAAUUCAGGAAACUGGGGCUAAUACCGGAUAGGAGCUCCUGCUGCAUGGUGGGGGUUGGAAAGUUUCGGCGGUUGGGGAUGGACUCGCGGCUUAUCAGCUUGUUGGUGGGGUAGUGGCUUACGAAGGCUUUGACGGGUAGCCGGCCUGAGAGGGUGACCGGCCACAUUGGGACUGAGAGACGGCCCAGACGGCUACGGGAGGCAGCAGUGGGGAACAUUGCACAAUGGGGGGAAGCCUGAUGCAGCAACGUCGCGUGCGGGAUGACGGCCUACGGGUUGUAAACCGCUUUCGCCUGUGACGAAGCGUGAGUGACGGUAAUGGGUAAAGAAGCACCGGCUAACUACGUG